GGUGAACGCUGGCGGCGUGCCUAACACAUGCAAGUCGAGCGGAAGCACAAUAAGAUCUUGCUCCUAAGGUUAGCGGCUGACGGGCGAGUGACGCAUACAUAGGCUUCUUCUUUUUCGUGGGGGACAACGUGAAACAACUUAUGCUAAUACAUCAUACGUCCUACGGGAUGGAGCAAGAGUGCUUCAGGCCUUUCGCGUUUCUAUUAGCUGGAUUCGGGCUGCAUUAGCUAGUUGGUAAGGUAACGGCCUACCAAGGCGACGAUGCGUAGCUGACCUGAGAGGAUGAUCGGCCACACUGGAACUGAGACACGGUCCAGACUCCUACGGGAGGCAGCAGUGGGGAAUAUUGGGCAAUGGGCGCAAGCCUGACCGAGCAAUGCCGCGUGAGUGAAGAAGGUCUUCGGGUCGUAAAGCCCUUUUGUUGGGAAAGAACAGAAGUAUGAGAAUACGCCGCUGUCCUGACGGUACCCAAAGAAUAAGCACCGGCUAACUUCGUG
rnacentral:rRNA from 1 species